rnacentral:rRNA from 1 species
AACGUAGGAGGCAAGCGUUAUCCGGAAUUACUGGGCGUAAAGGGCACGCAGGCGGGCAAUCAAGUCAUGCGUGAAAGCUCUCGGCUAAACUGGGAGAGGUCGGAUGAGACUGAUUGUCUAGAGGCUGUUAGAGGAGUGUGGAAUUCCGCGUGUAGUGGUGAAAUGCGUAGAGAUGCGGAGGAACACCAGUGGCGAAGGCGGCACUCUGGGACAGACCUGACGCUGAGGUGCGAAAGCAUGGGUAGCGAACGGG